GUAGGGAAUAUUGCGCAAUGGACGAAAGUCUGACGCAGCGACGCCGCGUGAGUGAUGAAGGCCUUAGGGUCGUAAAGCUCUGUUGAAUGGGAAGAAAAAAAUGACGGUACCAUUCGAGGAAGGACCGGCUAACUUCGUGCCAGCAGCCGCGGUAAUACGAGGGGUCCUAGCGUUGUUCGGAAUCAUUGGGCGUAAAGGGUGUGUAGGUGGCCAUGUAAGUCAGGUGUGAAAGCCCCGGGCUCAACCCGGGAAGUGCACUUGAUACUGCGUGGCUUGAGUACCGAAGAGGGUAGUGGAAUUCCAGGUGUAGUGGUGAAAUACGUAGAUAUCUGGAGGAACACCGGUGGCGAAGGCGGCUACCUGGUCGAGUACUGACAUUGAGACACGAAAGCAUGGGGAUCAAACAGGAUUAGAAACCCGGGUAGUCC
rnacentral:rRNA from 1 species